rnacentral:rRNA from 1 species
GUGGGGAAUCUUGCGCAAUGGGCGAAAGCCUGACGCAGCCAUGCCGCGUGAAUGAUGAAGGUCUUAGGAUUGUAAAAUUCUUUCACCGGGGACGAUAAUGACGGUACCCGGAGAAGAAGCCCCGGCUAACUUCGUGCCAGCAGCCGCGUUAAUACGAAGGGGGCUAGCGUUGCUCGGAAUUACUGGGCGUAAAGGGCGCGUAGGCGGACAGUUUAGUCAGAGGUGCAAGCCCAGGGCUCAACCUUGGAAUUGCCUUUGAUACUGGCUGUCUUGAGUACGGGAGAGGUGAGUGGAACUCCGAGUGUAGAGGUGAAAUUCGUAGAUAUUCGGAAGAACACCAGUGGCGAAGGCGACUCACUGGCCCGUUACUGACACUGAGGCGCGAAAGCGUGGGGAGCAAACAGGAUUAGAAACCCGAGUAGUCC